rnacentral:rRNA from 1 species
UACGAGUGCCCCAAGCGUUAUCCGGAAUCAUUGGGCGUAAAGGGCGCGUAGGCGGCGCAACAAGUCACUUGUGAAAUCUCCGGGCUUAACUCGGAGCGGCCAAGUGAUACUGUCGUGCUAGAGUGCGGAAGGGGCUACUGGAAUUCUCGGUGUAGCGGUGAAAUGCGUAGAUAUCGAGAGGAACACCUGCGGCGAAGGCGGGUAGCUGGGCCGACACUGACGCUGAGGCGCGAAAGCCAGGGGAGCGAACGGG